rnacentral:misc_RNA from 1 species
GGAAGGAUCAAUCAUAAUAUUUCGUUACAAACUAAGCCUGUGUCUGAUUAGAAGUACACAUAUAAAAAAGCUGAUCAGCUCAACUCUUGUGCAACUGCACUUGUCUUGAGUUAUCAAUAAUGAAUACUAAAAAGAAAAGAAAAUUUUCAACGGUGGAUGUCUUGGCUCUCAUAUCGAUGAAGAACGCAGCAAAGUGCGAUAAGCAAUGCGAAUUGCAGACCGUGAGUCAUUAGAAUUUCGAAUGCAACCUGCACCUCCGCCUGGCGAGAGGUAUGUUUGCUUCAGUGUAUCUUUCCUAUCCAUUACUAUCUCCCUGGUCACAAACAGGCUAUGGGAAUAAUACAAAAGCUUAAAGUGAGUGAGCUCAAUGUGCUCUGUUCACAACGUUUGCAAGUAGCUGUGAGUGAUCACAGACAUUACUAACAACCACUCCGAUCACCUCGUGUGAAUGUUGAUUUAUCAACGACGGGACUUUGUUUAGUAUAUAGAGUCUGAUAGAAAUAUCAGGUUCGCAAUACACUGGAUUUGAUCUGAAGUCAAGCAAGAGCACGCGCUGAACUUAAGCAUAUCACUAAGCGCAGGGAAAAUGAGAUUUAAUAAAAAUGAAAAAUAACAAUGAUUGCCUCAGUAACGGCGAGUGAAGCGGCAAGAGCCCAAGGUGAAAAUCCCCGUCCUCCGGAUGUGGGAGUUGUAAUCUAAAGGGUGCCCACUGACCAGCUCUCUGAAGCCCAAGUGUCCUGGAAUGGACCGCCAUGGAGGGUGAAAGCCCCGUACGGAGUCGGAGAUAAGCUAGGUGGCGCCUGAAGAGUCGAGUUGUUUGGGACUGCAGCUCAAAGUGGGAGGUAGACUUCUUCUAAGGCUUUUUGUUAACUAUGAGAGACCGAUAGCGAACAAGUAAUGUGAAUGAAAGAUGAAAUUAUAUUUAUAUCUACAGAAGAACUUUGAAUAAACAGAGAAUUAAACAGACCUGAAACCGUUGAGACGGAAGCGAUAGAAAAGUUGUAAUUUGACUCCGAGCUGGCUUCGUGGUGAAGAGUCUGUCGAGCGUAGGCAACCGCAAGGGGCCUUGUUCGGCUGGCGUAGCUGCUGGUUUGCUCGCUGUCAAAGCGCAAGAUGGGCUUCGCUCGCGUCAUAUCCCCCGCUGGGCCAGAGCUUCGGCAUCACUCAGUGGGACGCUGUCGCGGGUGGGGUCGAGGGACUUCGUGUGAUCUUUGCUGAUUAAUCGUCACUUUUCUACCGACCCGUCUUGAAACACGGACCAAGGAGUCUAACAUAUAUGCGAUUGUUAUUGUUUAGAAUCAAACAUGAGUAAUGAAAGUGAGCGGUGCCAAUCGAAAGAUGCAGCAUCGGCCAAUUGGAAUCCUCAGGAGAAGUGAAUUGGCUGUGAGCAUAUCUGUUAGGACCCGAAAGAUGGUGAACUAUGCUUGGGUAGGGUGAAGCCGAGGGAAACCUCGCGUGGAAGCUCGAAGCGAUACUGACGUGCAAAUCGUUCGUCAAACUUGAGUAUAGGGGCGAAAGACUAAUCGAACCAUCUAGUAGCUGGUUCCCUC